UGUGAAGAUAUCAAGUUCAUUUCUUUCUCCACUUAAAUGCCCCAUGGUAGGCACAUUCUACAGAAGUCCUGCUCCUGGUGUGAAGUCCAUAUUUCAUUUUCUAAACCUACUAAGUUGUGAAGGUUACAGGGUUUGCACGGUCAAAAUAAGUUGCAACUAGCUAACUUUUAGUAGGUCGGCUUUUGAUUGAUUUUUUUUUUUUUUUUCUUAAAGUAUUAUAUACUAGGUGUAGAAACUAAAGCCACCUAUACUAGUGCAAGUGGAGGAGGUAGUUAGUUUUCUCAAUAUAAAAAAUAUGCAAACACCACCUAUUCUUGUUGAAAUUGAUGUUUGGUAUUUUAUUUUGAUUAUUUCUUGUUCUUUAUCGCAAUUUUGCUAUUUUCUUUACUUCUUUUUUGAUUUUAGGCCUUUAAUCGCUUUUGUGGAGAGUUGUAUUUUGAAAGUGGGGAUCCAUUCUUUUCAGCAAGUUAUAAAACCCAUUAUAGAUUAUUCAAUUCGGAAGGGGAGUGCUGACGAUGCAUCUUCUGAUGAUAUGUAGCAUGUUGGUGAGGGUAGGGGAUGACAAGGAAAGGUGUAGGUGAAAAAAAGCAAGUUUUUAUUUUUUUUUAACAAGGCUAAGUUAGACAUUUUCUAGUUGGGACACCUUUUCAGGUCGGCUAGAGAACAAAGACCUAUUUAGUUUAUCUAAGUGAAAAAGUUUUCUUACCAUAGCAAUAUAAAUACUUAUGACUUCUUCAAUUUCUUUCCAGAUAAACAAUGAGAUUCAAUUGACAGUAAAAAAGUUGGUUUCCCAGAAUUGGUGAGGAAUUAAAUGAUGAUCUAGUUUAUACAGGGUGGGAAAUUAAAGGAAAUGAAGGUACUAACAUUAAAGUUGCUCUAGUCGAUAAUGUAACUGAGGAUCCUGUUGACUUUGGGCUUGAAUCCUCCAGGACGAAUGUGAAGAAUAUUUAUAGGGGAAUUCCUGUCUAGACCUACCCGAAUCCUAUCAUGAUAGUUUGAUUAAUUGAAGUAAUACCAGACAAUUUUGUGGUUAGGGACAUGGCAUAUGAAGUGCAUUGCACAUAUUAAGAAAUAUUAAACCUAUUAGAUGGAACUUGGAAGGAUAUAUAUAUGGCCACAAUUUUAUGAUUACGACGUAAAUGUCCCGGUACUCUAACUAUUGAAAAUGUGUAUGAUCCAUUGUUUUCAAAAGAGAAGAUGAAAUAUCUAAUUGGAUUUGAGGCCAGAGAUGAAGGCCUUAUUGUUCAUGGUGAUCGGAGAUGGGCUAAGUCAAGGUCAAAUUUCAGUAAUCAGAUUUAUUGUUAUUGUACGAAUAAAAGGACAUACUAAGAGAGAUUGCUACACAUUGUAGAACAAAGUUAAUUUGACUAAAAAUCAUGGGAAGCAAGUAAAUACUUUAGACGAAAUCAAUAUAGUCGAGAACUAUUUGAAUGAUGGAGAUGUUUUGAUGAUUUUUGACAUGACAAGAAGUGGAUUUUAGAUACAGUUUGUACGUUCAUAUGUGUCCAAUCGGGAUUUGUUUAAAACAUAUAAAAUGAUGAUGCAAGAUAUCGUUGUCAUGGGCAACAACGAACGUUGUCGAAUAGUUGGUAUUUGUGGAAUCAGAUUGAAACGGUGGAUGGAACAUGUAGAAUCCUUGAUCACAUUUGAUAUAUUCCAGACUUAAAGAAGAAUCUCAUUUUGUUAAAUACUCUUGAUUCAAAAGUUAUACAUUCUCUAGAAGAGGUAGAGUCUUGAAGGCUUGGAAGGGUGUUCAUGUUGUAUUGAAGGGACAAAAGACAUCCUAGUUAUAUAUCUUACAAGGUCGGGCAGAAUUUAUGAAGAAAAGUCAGAAUAGAUUUAGUACCACAAUGGAGAUUCUGUUUGAUACUAUGCUUUUAGGAUUUGGUUUGGAAUCCAUAUUGAAGAAUACUACUCAAUUGAGUUUGUAAAAUAUGGUAAUUUUGCUUUGCUACCAUUAUGUGCAGUUCCAUCAUAUGCAACUGCUAGGAAUAGACCGAUUGGAAAUAGGUACAUGGACGUUAAUUUGGUUUCACAUGCUUUUAUCAUUUUUGAAGAUGUUGAGACCAACUAGAGGGCCUUUUAUGAAAGUAUUAGGAGCUGAUUUUGCUACAGGAUCUGUUUCGACACUGUUUGGUAAUUUUUAAUUCUUUGUGAAUUUUUGGAGACCUGGUAUUGGGUUCAUAUAUGCGUGUUGGAUACUAUGGAAAAGGAGGAGUAUUUUUGUGUUGGAGAAAGUUUGGUUGUUAUUGAAGAGUUCAGAUUUUUCAUUGUAGAGCUUCGCUCGUUGUAUCAGAAUUUGUGUCAAUAUGAAGAUUGUUGGAUUUUUUUACCCAAAUUAGGUUGGAUUUUCAAGAAAAAUAUUUUUUUCCUUCUUUCCAUGUGUUUUUAUUUGUAAAAUACUGUUUCCUUUAUUCCUCGUGAUAUUUCUACCUUGUUUUCAUUUUUGUAAUAUUUAUAGGGUUUGUUAUGCACCUAAAUAAAUACUAAACUUUUUUCAUAAAUUUUGUGCUACUAAGAUAUAGAUAAUUUUUUAGGCACAUUUAUUGUAUUUGUUUCUCCAUAUUAGUCAAUUGAUUAAAAUACUAUGUUCCUCUGCCAAUUAAUUUUUUGCCUUUAAUCUUGUUGUUUGUUUGAAAUCAUAUACUUCAUAUCGUGUCAUAUAAAUUACCUCGAUCCGUUUUAUUUCCCAACACUAAUUUUAUUGGAUUCUUCAUUGAGUUGUUAAUAAUUUCAACUACUCUUAUUCGUAGGAAAGAGCAAGAUGCUACGAAAGGGAAUGAGGAGAGUUAGUUCUCUUGUACAGAGGUUCUUUGGGAUCAAGGUAGAUGUUUUUGUUUAUGUGUCAAACAAACGUUCGAUGGGCUAUGAUGUAAAUCGAUUGGGAGUUCAAAUAUAUUUCAAAACUUAAUUGAAGUAAAUUGACUCAAAAAUUCCACGAAGACUAGUUCAAUUAAUUUGGUUUAAAGGAUAUUAAAUUUGCUAUUUUCAAGGUGUAACAUUUUUCACUAAGGGUCUGUUUGAUUGUAAGAAUGAAAUUUUGGUGGAAAGAAAAUGAAUUCUAGGGACUAAGAAUUUUCAAUUAAAUGUGUUUGAUAUGUAUAAUUUUUGAUUUGGAAAAUGUUGAAAUAUUCUAUCUUUUGGUGUUCGUUGGGUUUUGUUUUUCUUGGAAAUUGUAAUUAAAGGAAUAGAAUUUGUUAUAAUUAUGAAUAAAAUUUGUUCCAAUUGUCCCCAAAAAAAGAAAAAAGAACAAAAAGGGAC
rnacentral:lncRNA from 1 species